rnacentral:rRNA from 1 species
AUUGAACGCUGGCGGCAUGCUUUACACAUGCAAGUCGAACGGCAGCGGGGAGUGCUUGCACUCUGCCGGCGAGUGGCGAACGGGUGAGUAAUGCAUCGGAACGUACCGAGUAAUGGGGGAUAACUGUCCGAAAGGACAGCUAAUACCGCAUACGCCCUGAGGGGGAAAGCGGGGGAUCUUAGGACCUCGCGUUAUUCGAGCGGCCGAUGUCUGAUUAGCUAGUUGGUGGGGUAAAGGCCUACCAAGGCGACGAUCAGUAGCGGGUCUGAGAGGACGAUCCGCCACACUGGGACUGAGACACGGCCCAGACUCCUACGGGAGGCAGCAGUGGGGAAUUUUGGACAAUGGGCGCAAGCCUGAUCCAGCCAUGCCGCGUGUCUGAAGAAGGCCUUCGGGUUGUAAAGGACUUUUGUCAGGGAAGAAAAGGCUUUUGCUAAUACCAAGAGCUGAUGACGGUACCUGAAGAAUAAGCACCGGCUAACUACGUGCCAGCAGCCGCGGUAAUACGUAGGGUGCGAGCGUUAAUCGGAAUUACUGGGCGUAAAGCGGGCGCAGACGGUUUGUUAAGCAGGAUGUGAAAUCCCUGGGCUCAACCUGGGAACUGCGUUCUGAACUGGCAGGCUAGAGUGUGUCAGAGGGGGGUAGAAUUCCACGUGUAGCAGUGAAAUGCGUAGAGAUGUGGAGGAAUACCGAUGGCGAAGGCAGCCCCCUGGGAUAACACUGACGUUCAUGCUCGAAAGCGUGG